rnacentral:rRNA from 1 species
ACAAGUACCGUGAGGGAAAGUUGAAAAGCACUUUGAAAAGAGAGUGCAAGAGAACGUGAAACCGUUAUAGUGGAAGCGGAUGGAGCCGAUGUAUUUAGUACGUAUUCAGCCGUUAAUGGGUGCAAUUUUUUGAGUUGAAGUUCUGCAAAGUCUUCGCUUGAUCUUGUUGUGCUCGUUGGCGGUGCAUUUGCGUACAAAGUGCGCCGAAUCGGUCGAUUCAGUCGUUUGAAGCCCAAAAAGAGGACUUUGCUUCGGCUUAGAAACCUGUUUGGGCGAAUGGCGAAUUGGGUUGAUUGUAAGCAGAAGUUGGUGUAAUCGUGGCAGUGGUUUCGGAUUUGAGUGUUUUUAGUACGACACAUGUGUUUUGCUUUUAAUAUUUGCGUUCGAGGCUAUUGUUGCUCGACUUCCAUUCGGUGUCUCGUCGGUCACCCAUUUGACCCGUCUUGAAACACGGACCAAGGAGUUUAAGGUAUACGCAAGUCAUUGGACGUUAAAAUUCAAAGGCGUAAUGAAAGUGGGACACUUGGUGUCUGCGAUGUGAAUCGGUCGUGUUUCGACACUACUGAUGCAACAUCGACCCGUGAUUAGGAUUUAUUCUGUUGCGGAGUCUGAGCGUAUGCUUUGAGACCCGAAAGAUGGUGAACUAUGCCCGAACAGGACGAAGUCAGAGGAAACUCUGAUGGAAGUCCGAAGCGGUUCUGACGUGCAAAUCGAUCGUCUGAUUUGGGUAUAGGGGCGCAAGACUAAUCGAACCAUCUAGUAGCUGGUUCCUUCCGA